UGUAAGCACAUGCCUUAAAACGGUAAAGCCGCGAAUGGCUCGGUAUAACAGCCACUGUUUAUUAAACUCUAGUAAUCUACUUGGAUAACUGUGGCAAUUCUAGAGCUAAUACAUGCACGCAGGCUCGGACCUUUUGGGAAGAGCGCAUUUAUUAGACCAAAACCAAUCGGGCUUCGGCCUGUGUUUUGGUGACUCUGAAUAACUCAGUCGAUCGCACAGUCUUAGUACUGGCGACGUAUUUUUCAAAUGUCUGCCUUAUCAACUUUCGAUGGUAGGUUAUACGCCUACCAUGGUUAUAACGGGUAACGGAGAAUUAGGGUUCGACUCCGGAGAGGGAGCCUGAGAAAUGGCUACCACAUCCAAGGAAGGCAGCAGGCGCGCAAAUUACCCAAUCCCAGAACGGGGAGGUAGUGACGAAAAAUAACGAGGUAAUCCACUUUGUGGCUUGCCAUCGGAAUGGGCACAAUAUAAA
rnacentral:rRNA from 1 species